CCUACGGGGUGCAGCAGUAGGGAAUCUUCCACAAUGGGCGAAAGCCUGAUGGAGCAACGCCGCGUGGGUGAAGAAGGUCUUCGGAUCGUAAAACCCUGUUGUUAGAGAAGAAAGUGCGUGAGAGUAACUGUUCACGUUUCGACGGUGUCUAACCAGACAGCCACGGCUAACUACGUGCCAGCAGCCGCGGUAAUACGUAGGUGGCAAGCGUUAUCCGGAUUUAUUGGGCGUAAAGGUAACGCAGGCGGUCUUUUAAGUUUGAUGUGAAAGCCUUCGGCUUAACCGGAGUAGUGCAUUGGAAACUGGGAGACUGGAGUGCAGAAGAGGAGAGUGGAACUCCAUGUGUAGCGGUGAAAUGCGUAGAUAUAUGGAAGAACACCAGUGGCGAAAGCGGCUCUCUGGUCUGUAACUGACGCUGAGGUUCGAAAGCGUGGGUAGCAAACAGGAUUAGAUACCCCAGUAGUC
rnacentral:rRNA from 1 species